rnacentral:lncRNA from 1 species
CGUUCUAAUAAAAAUCUUAAGUUCUAUAAGACAAUAUUCACGUAAAUUCAGAAUUCAAAUGUACCAAUGAUCUUGAUGCAGUAGUUCUUCAUACUAAGUGUGAAUAAAGAAUAAGUGGGUGGUCUUUAGGAAACAGAUACUUAAUAACAAUAAUCAAAAUAAGUAUCGUAACAAGAAUAGUAUAAUACAAAUAAACCAUAACUUUCCACUUAUAAAUACAAAAAAAAGUCAUUUGAUAACUAGCCGGAUGUUUAUCAAUUAAAAAUUCUUAAAAUAUUUCUUUUAAAAUAUAUGCACAUUUCUGAUCUAUAAAUUAUAUCACAUUUCUAUAAGAAUAAUCUCUCAUGAAGUAACGAACUACAUCAUGA